ACGGCGUCGUUUAAGACUGUCUACGUGGACCACAAACCGUCAGCUCAGCGCUCUGGCUGCUGAGUCAUGUUGAAAAUAGGUGGAAGGACCAAAAUUUUGCACGAAGCUCAAUUUAAAAGGUGCAAUUAGAGUAUUGUAAAAGUCAAGAGUAACAUUAGUACACGAGCUCAAUUUGAGGACCAUUUUGGGAAUUUACUCCAGUUCCACCUCUUGGUUACUUCUUCCAUUAAAUGCUCAUCCUUAUGUGUCUUAUUGAAAAGAUACCAACGAAGCCUCUGCACCGCCUCAUCCCACCUCCUCUUCUUCUAUCUAAUAAACCCAGUGCUCUUCAUCCUCUUCAAAAUUAAAACACACACAAACGGAGGAAAGAACAGAGAAAAGAACGAAAUGAAGCUGAGGGAGAAGGAAGGAGCUAUCCGCAGCAAGAAGAUAAACUGCAUUCCUCAUCAUUCUGAAUCUUUGAAGCAUCCUCGCUGGUUGUAACCAUAAGUAAAGGAGGAGUGAGAACUCUUCUCUUGCUCAAGCUUGAAUCGGCCAUUUGUUCGUAAGGGGAGUGACCGAAGCUUCAAUUUCGUGUGGUUAGGGUUUCUAAUUCAAGAAAAAAGCACAAACAGAAUUUUGAACUUCAAAAGAGGUAAGGGUUAGGAUGUUUAGAAGGAUAUGUUUGUGAUUGAUUGAUGGUGCUGUUAGUGACUUGUGGGUCUGAUGUUACUUAAGGUUUUAUGUUGCUAUGUGCAGAAUUUCUUUGAAGGCUAAAGGCUAUGUUUUGUGAAUGAAUUAGUUGGUAGUAUGAGCUGCUGUGCUUGAAAUGGGUUCUAUUGUAACUAAAUCUAGUUGAAUGAUGAUGAAUGAUAACUUAUGUGAUUAAAUGAUGACAAGUGCUUGGGAAAAUUCUGUUUUAACGUGAUGCAGAAAAAUAAAUGUUCAUUAGUGUAUAAGCACUUGAAAACUUGAGAAAUAUUGGCUCUGGAUUUUUGGGGAUCUGCUAAUCACUCUUUAAUUAGUUAAAAGAAAGAUAGAAUUAUGGUUUUAGAAGAGUGAUAAGCUUAGAUAUAAAACUUGGUAGGUGAGGUUGUUAAGUUACUUGAUGCAGAAUUUCUGCAUAUUUGGCGGUGGCUUAAAAUAAAUGCUGGGAGCAGUCCGGACCACCGUUUUGGAUGAAAUUAUUUUUCUUUGAAAUACCGGUGUGUCUUGAAUAUUUCAUAAAAAUUUCAAGGAAUUUGGCUAAGUGGUUUAAAAGAUAUGAAUUUUUGAAAACAGAAGCUGCUGCAGAAUUUUUCUGGUUUUCUAGUUCUGCAAUAUCAAUUUCAAACCACUGGAACUUUUGUUUUACUUAACAUUUUAAGUUGCUACUAAAAGGGUUUUGAAGAUCUGUAUCUUAACUUUAAUUGAGUACAAAUUUCAUGUUCAUAUCUAUUUUGUAGACUUAAUUAAGUCACUUGGAAGUUGGAUUGCUUGCUGGAAAUUCUGAACUGAUUUAUGAAAACAAGGCAUCACUUCCAAAUGAGAAUUAAUUAAUCAAAUGAAGUGAUAUGAAACUGAAACUUGUUUGUUCUGAAACUUAUGGAUGUUGAGUGUAUCUUCACCAAAAUAUAGAAGCAACAGAUUAGAAUUGAAUUUACUAUGGAAUUUACGAAAACAGAGCUGCCUGCUGUUUUCCUGAAUUUUUAUGAGUGCAGCAACAGAUUUUCAAAGUUUGUUAUCAAAUUCAAUUCUAAUCCAAAUGCAGUAAAAUCUAAUUCAAAUUAAAGAUUAGGAUCUCUAGAAUGAACUUACUAAGAGAGAUAGUCCGUGCAUAAGCUUUCUCAACAUAAAACCACAUAACAAGACAGCAAGGUGCUGUUCCAAGAAUCUAGAAUAAGAGUCUCGGUUUUUUUUCAAUAUCUAGCAUUAAGCUUCCCAGAAAAAUACGAUUCAUAGUUCUUUAGAAAUUUGAGUUCAAUACGAACGCGUGGACAUAAAGUUUGCGCAAAUCUAAGUCCGUUUGUUAUAUUAAUUAUUAAAUAGAAGAUUGGUUGUCCAAAAAGGUAAUAAGCUAGACAAGUCAAGAAAAUAAAUAAGAAUGCAAGUUGUCCCUAGGAAGGUUUAAAGUUAAAAGGUGAUGCAGAAGUAUGCUUAGUAACAUGGUGAUACGGAGGUAUGUUUAGUAUCAUGGUGAUGCAGAGGUAUGCGUAUUUAUAAGGUGAUGCGGAGGCAUGAUGAAAAGAAAGAAAAUGAGAAACUAUGAAAGGAUAACGAUUCUUGAGAACUGUUUGUUUGAAUGGGCCUUUGUGCCAAAUUGCUAAUGCGGAAGUGAUCGCCUAACGGAUAGCCUAAGGUUGCUAAUGCGAGAAUGUCCGCCUAACUGAUAGCAUAAUGUAUGUUGAAUGAGACUUGUGCCAAAUUACUAAUGCGAAACUGUUCGUCUAACUGAUAGACCGAGAUUGCUAAUCCGGGAAUGUUAGCCUAAUUGAUAGCUUGUCUCUUAUCGUGAUGCCAAGAUAUCCUAAUUGAUAUGAGUUUGCCCAUGAUGAUAAUUGUGCCUAAUUGACACGGUAAAGAGACUAUAUUUGGAGUUCGCCCCGAGUAACGUCGGGUUGCGGGUAGACAACCGACGCAUGAGCUCAUAGCCUGUGCUAGGAACAAGCAUGCAUCAUAAAUUGUUUGCGCAUUUGAUUGUGAUUGUUUACUGUUCAUUCUUUCUGCUACUUGCUAUCUGCUUCUUGUUAAUUUUUUAUUC